rnacentral:rRNA from 1 species
GGAUUAGAUACCCUGGUAGUCCACGCCCUAAACGAUGAGAACUAGCCGUUGGGGGUAAUUGAAACCUUUAGUGGCGAAGCUAACGCGAUAAGUUCUCCGCCUGGGGAGUACGGCCGCAAGGCUAAAACUCAAAGGAAUUGACGGGGGCCCGCACAAGCGGUGGAGCAUGUGGUUUAAUUCGAUGCAACGCGAAGAACCUUACCUGCCCUUGACAUCCUCGGAACCUCUCAGAGAUGAGAGGGUGCCUUCGGGAACCGAGUGACAGGUGCUGCAUGGCUGUCGUCAGCUCGUGCCG